CAGUGGGGGAAUAUUGCACAAUGGAGCGCAAGGCUGAUGCAGCGACGCCGCGUGAGGGGAUGACGGCUUUCGGGGUGUAAAACUCUUUCGCCAGGGACGAAGCGCAAGUGACGGGUACCUGGAGAAGAAAGCACCGGGCCAACUACGUGCCAGCAGCCGCGGUAAUACGUAGGGUGCGAGCGUUGUCCGGAAUUACUGGGCGUAAAGAGCUCGUAGGUGGUUUGUCGCGUUGUUCGUGAAAACUCACAGCUUAACUGUGGGCGUGCGGGCGAUACGGGCAGACUGGAGUACUGCAGGGGAGACUGGAAUUCCUGGUGUAGCGGUGGAAUGCGCAGAUAUCAGGAGGAACACCGGUGGCGAAGGCGGGUCUCUGGGCAGUAACUGACGCUGAGGAGCGAAAGCGUGGGGAGCGAACAGGAUUAGAUACCCUGGUAGUCCACGCCGUAAACGGUGGGUACUAGGUGUGGGUUUCCUUCCUUGGGAUCCGUGCCGUAGCUAACGCAUUAAGUACCCCGCCUGGGGAGUACGGCCGCAAGGCUAAAACUCAAAGGAAUUGACGGGGGCCCGCACAAGCGGCGGAGCAUGUGGAUUAAUUCGAUGCAACGCGAAGAACCUUACCUGGGUUUGACAUGCACAGGACGACUGCAGAGAUGUGGUUUCCCUUGUGGCCUGUGUGCAGGUGGUGCAUGGCUGUCGUCAGCUCGUGUCGUGAGAUGUUGGGUUAAGUCCCGCAACGAGCGCAACCCUUGUCUCAUGUUGCCAGCACGUUAUGGUGGGGACUCGUGAGAGACUGCCGGGGUCAACUCGGAGGAAGGUGGGGAUGACGUCAAGUCAUCAUGCCCCUUAUGUCCAGGGCUUCACACAUGCUACAAUGGCCGGUACAAAGGGCUGCGAUGCCGUGAGGUGGAGCGAAUCCUUUCAAAGCCGGUCUCAGUUCGGAUCGGGGUCUGCAACUCGACCCCGUGAAGUCGGAGUCGCUAGUAAUCGCAGAUCAGCAACGCUGCGGUGAAUACGUUCCCGGGCCUUGUACACACCGCCCGUCACGUCAUGAAAGUCGGUAACACCCGAAGCCGGUGGCCUAACCCUUGUGGAGGAGCCGUCGAAGUGAUCGCCUUUGCU
rnacentral:rRNA from 1 species